rnacentral:lncRNA from 1 species
ACAGGAAUAGAGACAGGUAGAUAGGAUCAAGGUGACAGGAACAGAUGUUCAGAGCAAGAGAUGAAGACGGCAUCAUCAACCCAGACAAGCCAGUUGGAGGCAUCUGUCCACCCAUGUGGUUCCAGACACGUUCAUGUGGCCACCAUGACCCCGUCGGCAUCACAGGGGUAACCAAGGUCCACAGAACGAGGGGAAAGGGUCACUGUGGAUCAAGCCAGGCUCCUCUGAGCAGUCCAGGGUCUAUUUACAGAGAGCAGCAAGUUCCUGGGACAGAGGAGACAGAAGGGAAUUUCCAGGUUCUUCAGGACGUUCACAACCACACUGAGAAGCAUCUUUGCAGAUAAGUAUUUAAACUUACCAGCCCAUAGCCUACCAGCCUGCCCUCUUCUGGUCUGUGCAGGAAAGUGUAGUAUCCUAGAAUGCCAAAGUGGGAGGGGAAAUGGGUGAUGUAGCUCAUUCUCUUUUCUACCUCUAUGGAAGAAAGAAAGAGCCUGUCCCCAUUUUGUGGGGUCCCAGAAAGGGUGAUUUUCACACUUCACAUUUGGCGUUAGGGCUAGUAUUUCACAAACAUUACCGUCUGGAACUUUUGAAGGCUGAGUUAAAUGACUUCAUCUUGUGUACUUGUAGAACUGCUAUUAGAAGGAGGCUGGGGACUCCCUGAUGAUGUGAACCAGCCCUUCUCUUCUCAGUUUCAGCACUUUGUGAUCAUAUUUAUAAACCUUGGACAGGGCUCCUUGGCCUUAGAGUUAAGUGAAGAGUUAACACUGUGACUUUAGAUGCAUUUUUCUCAGUGUAAGUGUCUGAGCUCAUCUCCAGUUCUGGACUCGUGCCCCCACUCCCGGGUGCUGACAGCAAGCUCUGAAGAUAUGCUGAGAGAGCUCCCUGACUCUCCUGACUCAGGUCUGCCAGUUGAUGAAGACAGCACAGUUGUUACCAAAAACAAAACCUGGCAGAUGGUCCUAGGUCAGGAUUAGUGGUCAUUCUCUGGUCUUCUCCAGACUGGUGACACAGGGUGGUCUUAAAAGAGUCCUAGUCCAGCCUCUGGCUCCCCGAAUUUCCUCUGGUGCAUGGGGCAUCAGGAAAGGGCAGGGGAGAAGGAGGGGGAGCAGAAAAAUAACUGAGGCUGGGCAGAAGGGUCCCUUCCAUUUCCCAUCCAUUGCUUCAAACAAUGGGUGAUUACCGUGCACCUUGAGUGAAUGUCAAGGCAGGAAGGGUUCCAGGGCCACCCAGUGUGGCAGGAGCAGAGCUGGGAUCAGAAUUCUGGAUUCCUGACUCUCCGUUCAGCUGCUAUUCAGCUAUCACCAAGCUGCUGAGUUUGUCCUACUUUCUCCUGGGUCACAUUCUGCUGUUGUUGGGAAACAGGGAGUGAGUGAAGGGAACCUGGGAACCCUUCUCCCCUCACCUUUUAAGGAUGUUCUGGGGUGGAAUAAAGAGAGGUGGAGGGUGGGGUGCCUGGGCCCAGCCUCCCUGGCUCCUGGUCCUUCUUUCUUCAGCAGGGAGUUCUGGCAAGGCCUGGGCCUGGGGAGGGGGCCUGGGUGCAGUUUUCUCCUGCGGUGUGGUUGGCUCUUUUGUCUUCCAGGAUGGGCCUGUGGGGUCUGUGUGGGGAAGGAAGGAGCUGGGAGCCUGGGCUGCCUGUGUGUCGGCUGGAUGCUGCCAGCACCGGCAUGGACCAAGCAACUUCUCUGAGCCAGAUGCUGGGGACGCAGAGGUGAACCCAGAGACAUGAUCCCAUCUGCUCAGAUCUUCAUGUCAGAACACGCUUUAUUACAGUCUCGGCAAGGGGGUGGCUCCAUCUGGGCCGCAUCUCCAGGACUCCUGGCCUGGACUUCUCUUUGGACCUCGGGUGACCUUGGAUUCUGGCCACAGUGACUUAGCGGUCAGACUCCGGUGGUUUUCUAGCCCGCUGGGUGACUCCCUGAAGAUCUCAUCCUCUUCACACCUGUUGGGAUGGAGCCUCCCAUGGAUAGGAACUCUUCCUGGUUGAUGCUCAGCAGAUGACUGAUCUGGCUCUGGAGGACAGCUCCAGGGGUAUGAGGGAGGCCUGGCAGCCCACUACUCCCUCCUCACCUGCUCGGGCCCUGCCUGCUGGGCCCUAUUGUCUGGGUCUGGGGGCCCUUUCCUGCCCCAUGUGAACUUGAUUCCUCCUCGCGUUUCUGCCGGUGACCAGACAGAGCCUGGCCUGGGCCAAGUCCCCACUGACCACACUUUCCCCAAGGCUGGGUCUCAAAGGACCCUACAGGAUGGGGACAGGAACAAGGAUGGGAGUCGGGGAGGGGCUGUCAGGCAGAGGGCAGAUGCAGCUCCUCGGGUGCCGCUGGCUGGAGUCCUUUGUCUCCAUUUGCUCAGUGCGUAAUUGUCAUUUUGUGGGGGACUUCCUUGGUGGGGCUUUUCCAUGCUUUUCCUCUCCCUGAUGGUUACAAAGAGGAGACAGUCAGGAUCUGGGAGGAGCUGGAGCCUUCCCCCUGUGCUGUUGAACUCUGGGAGGGGCAGCCAGAGGGGCUGAGAGUGCACCAUCCUGAAAAGAGAGGGUCUUUAAGAGAUAAGAUUUAGGCUAGGGAAAUUCACUAGAAAGAGACAGGUGGCCCUGGGUUUUUUUUCCUGCCAUCCAAAGGGAACCAGUCUUACCCAAAGGCUUAAGGGGUCACCUUAGCCCAGUCUCAGGACACUCUUCUCCAAUCAGAUCGCUGCUUCUAGUUGCACUGCUCCUGGAUUCUGUUCUUGGGGAACAGAAGGUGGCAGGACAGGCCCCACAAUCUGCAAUUCCAGCUCCCUCCAGAGGAGACAGUCCCAGCGUUUGCAAGAGAGCAGCUUGUGGCCUCCCUUAGGCAAGUUUAAAAGCCAGAUGUCCUUUUUCCCAGAAUGCGGAGUGGUGUGUACUAUUCAUCAGCUUGGGCUGCCACAGCACCAUGCCAGACUGGAUGGCUUAAACAUCAGGAAUUUAUUUUCUGCCAGUUCUGGAGGCUGGAAAGUCCAGAUCAAGGUGUUAAGACUUGGUUUCUGGUGAGGCCUCUCUCCUUGGCUUGCAGGUGGCACCUUCUCACUAUGUCCUCACAUGGCCUUUUCUCUGUGGAGAGGGACAGAGAGCAUGAGCAGGCUCUGGUGUCUCCUCCUCUUCUUAUAAAGACACUAAUAUCACCAUAUUAGGGCUUAAACCUAUGACCUCAUUUAACCUUAACCCCUUAAAGGUCCCAUCUCCAAAAACAGUCACAUAGCAGGCUACUGCUUCAACAUAUGCAUUUGGGGGAGGGGACACCAUUCAGUUCUUAACAGGGUGGUCACCGCAAACAUGGAAAGUCAGAGCCUUCUCCCCUUCAGAAUUCCCGCCCCCACCCAGGGAUGGGGAGGAGGAGCAGAGAGGUAUGGGAAGCAGACACGGAGAGUGGCAGGUACCAUGCUGGGGUGGCUCAGGAGUGCUUCGGAGGACAUAUGGAACUGGCAGGGCUCAGUGCAGGGAGGCGGAGGCCCUGGGAGAGCCGUGUCCUGAGAAGGGCCUGGGCUACAACCCUGGGCAAGUUACUUCACCUCUGAGCCUCCGAUGCUCUGUGAAAUGGAAGGAAUGUGCUUGCCUGUCAGGUGCAGGGAGAAUUCAGUGAGAUUGUGUGCCUAGCACAGUGCCUGACUCCCAGUAGGUGCUCAGCAAAUGCUCCCAUCCAUCUGGGAGUAUAGACUUAGGGUUUAUCUAUUUUUUUUUUUUUUUGGCUCUCUGGACUUUAAAACUCAGCAUCUUCUGAACCAGAGGCAUUUCUGAUUAGCCCUUCCCUACCUAUUUUCCUAGUAUCACUCUUUAAUCAGCUUGGGGAGGUGGCAGCAUUUCAUGGCCUCCGUAGUAACUCACAAUGCUUCCUGGGGUAUUUAAAUUCUACUCUCUCAUCAGCACUGAGCACCUACUUUGGGCCCUUUCCCGUGCUAGCCAUUUGGGGGAAAUAUAGGUGAAGAGUGGCUGGGGUUUGAACCUUUAGGAUUUCACAGCCAUGCUGGAUGGGAUAAAACCAGCUCACAUGGAGAAUCAGAGAAUGGGACAGUGCCACAAAACAGUCUACUGAGGCACAAGUUCUGAGUGCCUGGGAAGUGGUAGAGAGACCCCAGAGAGGGCUGCUGCAGUCUGGAACAGCUUCCUAGCAAGCUGUACCAAACAGGGCCUUGAAGGAUGAGAAAGAUCUGGCUGAGAUGAUACCCGACCCUCUAGGGAAAUUCUUAAAGUAACUUCUAGGAAAUGUCAUUGCUCCUUAAAAAAAAAAAAAAAAAAAAAAAAGCAGGUUCUAAUUCAAAUUCCGCUGCACUACUGAAGUAGUGCAGGACUUAUCAGAACCUUUAAAAUGCUAAUGGCAAUUUCAAAUACUCAGGGACAGGGCAUAGGAUGAAGUGUUCCUUGACUUUUAUGGCCGUAGAAUCUUUUUCUCAUGGAACAUCGUUUAGAACUGUGGGAGAUGCUAGGCUGGGGUUUCUAUGGGAAAAGUACAGCAGUGAUAGAAGAUGGCAUAAUUAGGGUACACUUAGGUGCUUUGUAGCAUUGGCUGAAAAGGAAGCAGACCGGGUGGGCGUGGGGGAGUCUCAACUUGGUUCCAGGAGCCAGGCCAGCUUGAUGCGUUUUUUUUUUUUCUAAUGGUGGGAGGGCAGGCCAAUAGUUGGAGAAACUAGAGGCCUGACAGUCGGUGAUGGAAGAGAUGUCUACUAAGCACGGUUGUCAGAUCUUUUGCGGAGAGAUGCGGGUGUGCGUGUGUCUGUCAGAGUGUAACAGGAUCCAGCCCUCUGGGAAGGGGCUGACCAGAACCAGGCAGGGGGUUUCUGUCUAGGACAAGUAGGGUCCAUUUUCAGGGGAGCUGAAAUAUUUGCAGGGGGUGCUCUGAGACCCACAGCCAAUAAAUAGGGAAGCAACAUGCUUUUGGGCAGGGUCCAUGUGGUUAGGGUUGAUUUUGAUGGGGCUGGGGGGCUUAGAGUUAGACCCCCUGCCCUGGUCAGGCCCCACUCCCUGGCUGGUGGGGGCGGGAGGCCUCUGAAGCUGCAGCUGGAGGGGCCGGGGCAGUGUUGCAUGGUGUGAUUAACCUACUAACCCAGGGCUCAGCCGGGACGCUGUGGCGUGUGACGAGGUGCCUGGCCUUCUGCCAACCAACUAACCCACUAACCAGGCCCGAGCAUGCCCUACUAACCACCCCCCCGCAGCCAGAUCCUACUAACUGUGCAGCUCAUGGGCCUUUCAAGGGGCUGGGAUAUGGGGGCAGCCAAGGCUCCAGAAGGCUCUGCCUAUGGGCUGGGAUCUUUGUGCAGACCCACGUUCCAGGACAGAGAAUGCAAAUAAGACUCACCAACUCUGCCACUUCCUGUUGAGUGAGUUUGAGUAAGUCACCUCACUUCUCUCAACCUCAGUUUCCUCAGUGGUAGAAUGCGAGUUCUGAUACCUUACAGGUUGCAGUGAGGAUUCCCGUCAAUAUAAGGGUCUCAGCACAUGGCAGACACCUAAAAAAAAAAAAAGUAUGAGGAUGGAGGAAGGCCCCUCAAACCUGGUUGAACACGUCUGCUGCCUAGGCCCUGGCCUCUCUGGGUGUUCUGCACACAGAUCCUUCUGCCUGGGGCAAGACACUUGGCUUUGAAUCCAUGUCACUUCCCCACAUUCUUCCUCCGUCUCAGCUUUCUUUUCUGUAGGCAGCUCUUUUGUUCGAUUACUAACCCGUCUAACCCCUGGGGUGCCUCAACUGCACCCCGAUCAUCCCUUAACAAACUAACGGACCUGCGUGCGUUCUUCCUUUUCUCUUAGCGACUCCUGUGUGUGUCUGCUGAGGUGCCCUGUCCGCUGGUGCUGUGCUCUGACUUACUAACCCAGCCCCUACUAACCCUGUUUUCUCUUCUUACUAACCCCAGCCCUGCCGAGCUCUGGGCUCCCCCCGGGGGCUGGUCCCCCUCCUUUUGGCAAGCAGAUGACCUGGGGCUACUGGCCCUGUAGACAGAUGUCCCACUUUGCUGCCCCAUAUUGGCUGUAAGAUCAGAGUCCACUGGGCCAGGUCUAAGGCAGGGGAUGGCCCUAUUAACAAGACUCAGAGGAGGAAGAGGUGGUCCUGUGGAUGUGGGAGGCUGGACUCUGAGUAUGACAUCUCUCCUAUGUGCAGAAGUCUGGUUGCCACUGGGAGUAGGUGGGACCAGGGAAAUCUCUGGGACGUGAGUGUGGAGGCCUGUUGGUCUAGACUCUAGACUGUGGAGCUCUGAGCUUUUGUGUCCUCUGGAAGGAAGCUGGGGAAGAAUCCUCUCCAUUGUUAAGUGACGGGGAUAGAAGCUGUCCUGCACAGGAAGUCACGAGGGGGGCGUAUCCCACGAGGAAGGCAGGAGGGGGCGUGCCCCUCACCGGAAAUUAGCAGAGGGGCGUGUCCCACACCGGAAGUCAGAAAGCGGAGCCUUUCUUACACCGGAAGUCAAUGAAGCGGGUCUUUCCUACGCUAAAAACCACUGAGUGGAGUAUUUAGUACACAGGAAGUCGGCCAGAGAAACAUUUCUCAUAUUUGAAGGCCGGAAAGAGGGACAUUUCUGACACCGGAAGUCAGUGAGAGGACUCUUUCCCACACAGGAAGUCAGCUAGAGAGCCGUCUCCCCUCUCUGGAGCCGAGAGAGGCCGGUUUCCCCCACCGUAGCCCACCUGGGAGGAAUUUUCCAGAGAUCACUGUCUGAUGACCCUGUCUUGGAAUUGGAGCCAUGCAAGUUACACUGACCACGUUUGGGUUGGGAUAUUGAGGAGGUUAUGGUUAAAAGCAUACGAUGGGAGAUCAUAUUGUACUUGCGAGUGAGACCCGGCUGGAGGAAUGUUUUAAUUCUUCGGAAAUACCAAGUGGUCUCUACAGAACACUGAAGAUUCUGCUCUCAGGGUGUUGAUUGACGUCUGGAAGGCAGAGACUCGUGGAUUAGCAAGCAUGUGUAAGAAAGUGCUCUGGAUGCCACAGGGUGGUAAUUUGUGCAUGGAAAAUGGCUGGGGUGAAGAGGAGACUAGGGUCUCACAUGAGUACUUCACAAUGGGGAAACUGAACUGGAACUCUACUGACAACGCAGUUGGGAGUUCAAACUUAAUAACCUUCCAGAGUUGGUAUCAAAUUCAGACGCUGACGCUCCUUGGAGAGGUUCUUUGCUGCAAGAGGAUGGAAAGGAUCACUGUGAUUUUGUUUUUCUCCUGCUGCUCUGUCUGGAAGCCAUGUGAGGAGGACAUCUGAGCAGCCCUGUGGAGAGGCCCCCAGCCAACAGCCAGCAUGAACUUGCUGGGCAUGUGAGUGCACCACCUUGAAAGUAGAGCCUCAACCCCUGGUCAAGCCAUCAGGCACUAGAGCUGACCAUGUCCCAGGACUAUGUGGUUUGCAAGUACUAAUCCAUUUCAUCCUCAAGAAAAUGUCUAAGGUUUCAUGCCCAUUCUACAGAUGAGGAAACUGAGGCACGAAGAGCUUAAGAAAUGGGUCAUACCUUACACAGCUAGUUCACAGGCAGGUCUGGGAUUCAACCCCUCAGGGCUGUUUGGCUCCAGACUACACUCUUCAACACCAUGUCAGACCAUUUGAAUCCCCAGUUUACAGAUGAAGAAAUUGAGGCUCAGAGAGGUGAAGUGACUUGCCUAAAGUCACACAGCUACAAAGAGAUGGCACAUAGAGCGACAGCAAGCAUCUUUCCCAAGUUCACACAGUCGGCAAGUGCUCACACUGAUAUUUGAACCCAGACCAUGCCUGGCUCAGAGUAGAAACUCAAUAAAUAUUUGUUGCAAGAAUGAAGGGUUGGGUUUUGUUGGAAAAAGGCCUGAUUGUGGACUGAUUGGCUGACUGUCAAGCCUCGCAGUGCAUCGAGCAUCAGCGCUACGAAGAGUCGUUUUCCAAGCCGGCAGCUGCCUGUCUCCUUUGAAGAGUCUUGGAAGCAGCCACCAUCCAUCAUUCGCUUGGCAUGACUGUGAAGAUGGCAAUGACGGCUGCAGUCCAAGCCCUAGUGGGCAGAUGAGGAGCAGCCCCUCUCCUUAAAAAUAAAGCCGGAUUCCUAACAUUCUCUUCAACCCACGGCUGUGCAGGGCAGAGUCUCAACACAGGAAUUGGAACAUAACAAAUCUGCCGACUGCCAGCUUUGAUCUCACAAGGAUGGAGUUGGGGAGGUGAAGAGAAAGUAAAUGCUCUCUCGACUUUCCAAAGGAAAACAAUUUUCUUUCUUGCAUUUAUCUAGCUGGGCCUGGUGAUGUGUGUCUGUAGUUUCAGCCACUCGGGAGGCUGAGGAAGGAGGAUUGCUGGAGCCCAGGAGUUCAAGGCUGCAGUGAGCUGUGAUCAUCACUUUGCUCCAGUCUGGAUGACAGAGCGAGACCCUGUCUCUAAAACAUAAAUAAAUAGGCCAGGUUUGGUGGCUCAUGCCUGUAAUCCCAGCACUUUUGGAGGCUGAAGCCAGUGGAUUGUUUGAGCCCAGGAAUUUGAGACCAGCCUGGACAACAGGUGAAACCCUGUUUCUAGGAAAAGCAAAAAUUAGCCAGGCAUAGUGGUACAUACCUGUGGUCCCAGAUACUCAGGAGGCUGAUGUGAAAGGACCACCUGAGCCUGGGAAGUUGAGGCUGCAGUGAGCUGAGACUGCUCCACUGAACUCUAGCCUGGGCGGCAGAGUGAGACCCUGUCUCUAAAUACAUAAAUAAAAUAAGUAAAGCACUUUUCAGUAUCUUUCUGGAAUUCUUAUCUAUUUGUUAACAUAUGUAUGGUCUUUUUCUGCUGCUGAGAGGUGAAGCCAGCUGGACUUCCUGGCUCGAGUAGGGACUUGGAGAACUUUUCUGUCUAGUUAGAGGUUUGUAAAUGCACCAAUCAGCGCUUUGUGUCUAGCCAAAGGAUUGUAAAUGCACCAAUCAGCAACUCUGUAAAAUGGACCAAUCAGCACUCUGUAAAAUGGACCAAUCAGCACUCUGUAAAAUUGACCAAUCAGCAGGAUGUGGGAGGGGACAAAUAAGGAAAUAAAAGCUGACCACCCCAGCCAGCGGGGGCGACGUGGUGGGGUCCAUUUGUAGGUUGUGGAGGAUUUGAUCUUUUGCUCUUGGAAAUAAAUCUUGCUGCUGCGCGCGCUCUCUCUCUGGGUGCAUGCUGCUUUUAAGAGCUGUGAUACUCACCAGGAAGGUCCGUGGUUUCAUUCUGGAAGUCAGCGAGACCAAGAACCCACCAGAAGGAACCAACUACAGACACACUGCUAUAUGUAAGCUUCUUGGGAGCAGGGUCUUGGUUUUUUUUCUUUCUUUCCUUCUUUUCUUCUUAACUUUCCCCCUUCCCCUUCCCUUUCGCCUUUCCUUCCUUUCCUUCCUUUUUUUUUUGAGACGUAGUCUUGCUCUGUUGCCCAGGCUGGAGCCCAGUGGCACAAUCUCCCCUCAUUGCAACCUUUGCCUCCAGAGUUCAAGUAGUUCUCCUGCCUCUGCCUCCCGAGUAGGUGGGAUUACAGGUGCCUGCCACCACACCUGGUAAAUUUUUUGUAUUUUUAGUAGAGACGGGAUUUCACCAUAUUGGCCAGGCUGGUCUCGAACUGCUGACCUGGUGAUUAAAUAAAUUCGAUUAAUAUAUAACAUACAUGGAGAAAGAUG